GAAAGUCUAAGUUAAAAUAAACUAGAGGCCUUCAAAGCUUCCAAUAGAGGGGUUCCUCUGAUUUUUG
rnacentral:tRNA from 1 species